ensembl:lncRNA
CAACGGUCGGACAUCUAGGAAGCAGUCUCCAGUUUGUAUUAUACCUCGGUGGUGUAGAAGGAACAAAUAUCGACCGGAUCUUGAUCGGACGACGAGAACAACAACGUGUUAAAGGUACAUUAUGUAUUUUGUAGUUGUAAUAAUGUUAAUAGUUCGCCUAAUUUCAGUUUAUGUGACAAAACGAGCACUCUUGAGUGUAGAGAAUCAUUGUACAAUCUAAACCGCUGUGAAAUCUAUUUUAAAUAACCACAAAUAUUGUGGUUUCAGAUGUUUGAAGCUAGUGUACAAAACCGAAAGUAAAAGACGCAUAGAAAUCGCAGAUGACCGCUUCUCAGACUUGCUUUCAAUGAGAAGACCUAGAAGAUCUAUAACUGAUAUUAUUAUUUUUUGAAUGAAAGGUGUAACCAAGGCUUCUGAGAACACAGAGAAACAUGGCUACAGUCUUCAUCUGUUCCGUCUGUACCGAAGUCUUCGUUGGACAUAUAUCGCUGAGCUGCAAGCACACCUUCUGUGAACGUUGCCUCCAGAAGUGUAUGGACGCUGGUUGCGUUAUCUGUCCGGUGUGCGGGGAUCCAAUCACGUCGGAGAACAUCAGAGUCAACAGAAUACUAAGGGACAUGGCAGACGAAGUGAGACAGAGAAGAGUUGAUCUCAGAGUAUUGAAGAGGAAUGAGGACUUUGAUGUGAAUAACUGGGAAACCAACAAGAAGAAGGAGAAUGUGAAAACGUCAAAGUCCUUGGUGAAGGAAGGCCUGGCUGCCAGAAAGACAGAGAGGAAGUUAAAGUCAUCUCUGACCACUGGUCCCUGGGAGGGUAUAGUUUUUGGCAUUAUGGCCUUUUAUUGCUUUAUUUCUGUUCUUACUUAUGUUGUCCUUCCUUGUGUGGAAUAUGUGUCUGUAACAAUGUCAGGAAAUGCAGCCAAGGUGUUCGGAUCCCCUUUGGUGUUCAUGUCUAUGUUUGUUGUCUUCGGUGUUGUUGCUCAUUUAGUGGAUUUUGUGUUGAAAAAGAUUGACUUAAAAUCUGUUUUAUAUAGUAAUAACUGAUUGAUUGCUUUUAUGCAGUGUUGGAGAGUCAUUGGAUGUAGCGAACUUCCUUUCCCAGCAGGUUGGUGGUAGUUGAACAACUUUUUUGAAAUGAAUUAUAUUAUUGAGUUGACUUACAUCUGCAGGUUUAUGCCCAGUUUAUUGAUGCUAUGAUAAGUGCAGUAGAUUUUAGUUGUAAAAUGAAUGUUGUGAAGUAUGCUUUAAAAACUGCUAACUGAUUAUAUGGAAGGAAAAGGGCAAUGAGUUUUGAUGUAAAACUUUUCCUGUAAAUAUUCAGCAUUAUAAUGGCACCAGAGUUUCCAGCUUAAAUACUGUAAUUUUGCUUUACAGCAGAGAUGCUGUAAUAUAUUUUACAGUAACCUCUUUUCCAUACUAUAAAACACAUUACAGAAUACAGCAUCCCUGCUUUAAAUUUACAGCUGUAAGGUUUUUACAGUAGUAGUAUUCAAUGUCGGGAUUCGUGUCCCCACAACUGCAGUGGGGUUGCCAACAAUAUUAUUUGAAAUGUUUUAUAUUAUUAUUUAGUGUUAUUAUUUUUUAUUUAAACAAUAUAGAAACAUUUUUGAGAAAAAUGGGUUCCCUGCUGAAAAGGUUUAAAUACUAUUGUUUUACAGUAAGGAAAAUACUACUGUAAAAUAUAUUACAGCAUACCUGCUGUAAAGCAGAAUUACAGUAUUUAAGCUGGAAACUCUGGUGCCAUUACAAUGCUGAAUAUUUACAGUGAAAUUCUACCUGAAAUCUAAAUACAAAGAUAUAUAUACAAAUGUACAUAAAAUACAUGUAUUCAAAUAGCUGACAACAUUAGCUACAAAUGAACAAUAUAAUUGACAAUGGAAGUAACAACAGUUAUGACGUAUGUAACCAAAUAAGUGCAUCAUUACAACACUAAUUACAAAUUAUAUUGUGUGUGUGUGGGGGGGGAUUGAGAUCUAUUUAGGGUAAGGGGUUCAGAGGCGGUGAAACGGGACAGUUUGGUCAGGAGAGCAUCCAGGACAGAGAGAGGUUAGCAUCAUGUGUUCCUCAUGGGGCUCCGUAAACAAACCUCCUCGCGUUCUGAUUGGUCAGCUCUUCUCAACCCUAGGACAAGCAUAGAAAGAGAAAGACUGGAAUGAGCACCAGGGGCUGUUACUCUGUGGGUAAAUAGACAGACAGACAGCACCAGGGGAUGUUACUCUGUGGGUUAAUAGACAGACAGACAGCACCAGGGGAUGUUACUCUGUGGGUUAAUAGACAGACAGACAGCACCAGGGGAUGUUACUCUGUGGGUUAAUAGACAGACAGACAGCACCAGGGGAUGUUACUCUGUGGGUUAAUAGACAGACAGACAGCACCAGGGGAUGUUACUCUGUGGGUUAAUAGACAGACAGACAGCACCAGGGGAUGUUACUCUGUGGGUAAAUAGACAGACAGACAGCACCAGGGGAUGUUACUCUGGGGGUAAAUAGACAGACAGCAACAGGGGCUGUUACUCUGUGGGUAAAUAGAGAGACAGCACCAGGGGCUGUUACUCUGUGGGUAAAUAGAGAGACAGACAGCAACAGGGGCUGUUACUCUGGGGGUAAAUAGACAGACAGCAACAGGGGCUGUUACUCUGUGGGUAAAUAGACAGAGGACAAGGGACAUAUUAAGCUGGUGUUGUGUGUACAUACUUAACUACAAAUCUACAGUAGGCAUAAGCUAUUACUGUAAAUAAAUUAUACAGAAUGUUGGGAGGAUUUCCUCCAGGAGGCUUCCAAUUACAGUAAAUAACAGUAUUUUUUCAGCAUUUUACCCAUAAUGCAGUGCAAUCUAUAACAUUAUUGCUUUAAGACACAUAUGGUAUUUUACUGUGCCUUCUACCAUGUUUUAAUGCUGACAUGACAGUCUUACACUACAUAGCUUUUCUCCAUUUGAGAAGACACUACCCUAUUUGUAUUGAAAUGUAAUAAAAAUAUAAUUCCAUUCUGAUGUUUUUUGUUUCUCCUUCACUAAUACCCCUUUUCCUUCACUACUUAAAUGUUAAUUGUUCUUGUGUUUGUAACAGAGGGACCCUUUAAAACAAAAAAACUUUAUUGUCACAACCUGCUGAGGUGGUUGUUCAUCUCUUCAAAGAAGCUCCCGGUCUGAGGCACCGCAUCUCAGUGCAAAAAGGCGUCACUACAGUCCCUGGUUUGAAUCCAGGCUGUAUCACAUCCGGCUGUGAAUGGGAGUCCCAUAGGGCAUCGAACAAUUGGCCCAGCGUGGUCCGGGUUUGGCCGGGGGGGUUUAGGCCGUCACUGUAAAUACGAAUAUGUUCUUAACUGACUUGCCAGGUUAAAUAAAGGUUAUAAAAUAACAUUUUAGAAAGGAGGUGUUUAACCAAUCCUAUAACCAUCUGUUACAGUGCAAUACUUCCAAUCAAAUAUAUGAGUUCUGGUUUACCAUAUACAGUACUUCACAGUUAGUCCAGUUUAACCAGGUUAGUCCAGUUUAACCAGGUUAGUCCAGUUUAACCAGGUUAGUCCAGUUUAACCAGGUUAGUCCAGUUUAACCAGAGGGGGAAAAUCUGAAUAGAAAACUACUGUUUGCCAAUUAUAAAGUGGAUACGGUGUCAUUCCUGACAUCGCCAGAGAAAGAAACCUGAUUUGUGGACAAGGUGGACCUCUGAAGAUAUCCUACAGAUCACCAUGUUGGUGAAUGAUCUGCCCCCCUCACUGCUGCAGUCAGCUGCAGAGGAGGAGAAUGUAAUGAGGUUCUUCAGCCCGAGGAGGGUGAUGACGAGCAGCGUCAGCAGGAACACCAGCAGGCUCCACGGCUGCCAUGGAAACGGAGGUGAGGGAGAACUUCAGGAAGGUUCCGUUGGCAGGGGAGAUUCCGGGUCCGUUGAGCUCGUCCAAUGGGAUGUCCAUCCCUGACAUCCUGACGAUCGGAUUAGACGGAUCUGAGGGAGAGGAGAAAUAGGGUGUUACAGUAAGGUGAAUUCAACACCUGGUAUGUGGAAACCAAAAGAUUUAGUUUUUAAAGCAAGAACAUAAUUAAAUGCUAACCUUGCAUUUUUUUUGUGUGCAAAUAUUCAGGAUCAUCUUUUUGCGAACCUUGUAGUUAUUGCAUUGCGUACUGCAUGGGGUAUAUUUUUAGGCUUUCCUAUAUCCCAAAAUAUUCCCAGGAUAUUCCGGAUUCCCACG